GGGGCGGAAACAAACUAAAAACACAAAGGCAGAAACCCAGAAUCGUUAGAACAAAAAGGAAAAAAAAAAAUUGAAGCUCAAAGUAUAUGCCAGAUCGAAUGUCUCAGCCAUCUCGUGCUGUCAUCUUCUUCUGCAAGGUAAAUGGUAUAGAAUAUGAGGAGAUCAAAGUCCAUAUCCCAAAGGGUCAGCAUCUAACUCCUGAAUUCGAAGGAAACUGGACAUGUUCAGUUUUUUUUCCUAUGAUUUUGUUGCAGCAAUAAAUCUCAUGCAAAAGCUGCCUGCCAUUGCUGAUGGAAGAUUUAAGUUGUUUGAGAGCCAUGCCAUUCAUAUCUAUCUUGCUUAUGCGUUUCCUGGAGUUGCGACUAUUGGCAGGGUUGUUCCUGAAGCUAUCAGAUAAUACACCUGCAAGCCCUAUGGCUCCACUUGGUUCAACUGCAACUUUAAGGAUUUCAUAGCAGAGUCUCAUCGCUUUGAUUUUUUCUGUAUCGUCCACUGUUAUUACGUUCUAUGGGCCUAAUUAAUCAUAAGGCAUAGAAUGAGACUUACUGAAAGCUAAGACACAGUGCUGUUUGCUGAUAGCUAGUGCACUAACUGAUAAAAGAGAACAUCUACAUACAGUGAAUAUAUCCUUCACACAUCAAUAAGACACCAUGGGAAUGAAUUUACCAGGUGAA